rnacentral:rRNA from 1 species
UACGUAGGGUGCAAGCGUUGUCCGGAAUUAUUGGGCGUAAAGAGCUCGUAGGCGGUGUGUCGCGUCGGCUGUGAAAACCUGGGGCUCAACCCUGGGCUUGCAGCUGAUACGGGCAGACUGGAGUUCGGCAGGGGAGACUGGAAUUCCUGGUGUAGCGGUGAAAUGCGCAGAUAUCAGGAGGAACACCGGUGGCGAAGGCGGGUCUCUGGGCCGAUACUGACGCUGAGGAGCGAAAGCCAGGGGAGCAAACGGG